UUUCAAGUUAAAGAAAGGUUGUCGUUGAAAAAUGCUUACUUUAUCGUUAUCACGGAUGUUUUUGAUGAAUUACAUCGGUUGCUCGGGCUAACUUCAUUCAUUUGCAUAAAAUGUCUGCUACUGAUGAAAGAUAAACAAAAUCAUCGAGCUUUGCAGAACGAUGAAUCAGAAUGACUGAAUGACACUAAGUUUUGCAAAAUGGAUAUAUCCCUUACUUCCAUGGCCUUCGACAUAUUUGAGUGGGAUCCUGAAACAACCCCUGACACAACAACUUAAUUUACAAGAACAACCCUGCGUAUAAGAACUACAAUACUUCUGACAAAAACAAACAAAAGCAACUCCAGAUUUAUGAACAACUCUGAUUACUAGAACAUGAACACCAACCCCAUCUUCAAGAACAACAACUUCAACCCCAGAACAUCAACACUUCCUGCAGGGACAACUACAAAAACAUCGGCUUUAAGAACAAAUUCAUCCUAAACACAAACAUCAGCAACAACAGCUACCCGAAUAAAACUACUCGAACUACAAGAACACCAGCAACACACUCUUUAAGAACACCAGCAUCAUCAUCUUCUUCUAGACUUGCAAAUGCAACAAACACCAAAGACAAAGUUGAAUGAUCAACAGAUACAUUUGACCUGCUUCAGAAAUCAGUAACAAGAUCUUAACAAGGCACCAUUUUGUACAAUGUAAAGUCAAAGAAGAGUGUUACAAAAAGAGAUGACCAAGAAUACAAUGCCAUCAAUGAUAGAAACAUAGAAAAAAUGUCAUCGAUGUGUUCGCGAAAAGCAUUUUGCAACGAAAUAUAUAAAUAAGACGACCGUGAUCCACACGAAACGCAAAGCGAUUUUGACGAUGCAAACGUUAGUAUUUCUAAUAGUUUCUGACCAUAACAUUAUGCAAUUCGCUAUAUCACAGAUGCUAGAUAUAAAUUAAAAAUAUAUGGGUCGAGAAGUUGACAUUUUGGCUUGCCGUUCAGUCGGCAAGUCGAAACAGGAUUCAGUAAGUACUAAAUGACAAUUCAUCUCCCCAUCUUCAAAUACUAACUAUUGAUAACUGACGACCCCAUAUAUGUGUGGAUUCCUUAGAAAGGAUAUUGCUUGCUGAUAUCUAUUAUGUAAAAUAAAAGUAAGAAAUAAACUGCAAACUUUAAAAAUAUGACAGUGUGCAUGUCUGAUCGCUUUUGUAUAUUGAUAACAAUACACAAUUCAUUAUCUAAUUUAAAAAAUACAGUAAUUCUUACCCAACCGUUCUGUAAAUAGAACGACUCGACCAAAACCACAAACAGUUUUUUAAAUAACGUAACAAUAACGCAGGAAAAUCCAUCGCUUCAAAUAAAUUUAAAGCGUAUAACUGAAACACUAAUGACCAUUAAACAUAUAAUAAAUUAACACUUUUUUAACACGCUGAUUUAAGUUCUUUCGGGGCCGGCUGACAUAAUACAAACAACAAGACGAUAAAAGAUUCUCAAUAAACAUGUAUGAUAUUAUUGUCAUGCGAUGACCCAUGGUCCGAUCAUAUUCGAAGAUGUUGCGUUCAUCGGGUGAUAAUCGCAAUCGCCGGAAGGCAAUUCAUUUAACGAAUAGAAAUUGAGGUGUAAAUUUUAUUAUAUUAAGCAAUUUUCUUAAGUCAUUAAAGUAUGUGUUUUCUGUGUUUAAAGAUAUUCACAUUAUUUCUGUCAAAAAUAAGGGCUUUCAAAUGAUAGCAAAAUCAUAUGGCAUAUAUCCAAACUUCACACGUGGUAAACUUUGAUUUUGACGUAGACAAAUUCACAUUUUUGACAUCUUUUUAUUUGACUGUUAAUUUCAUUCAUAAUUCCUGUACUGCAAUUAAAAAUUUUGAUGUUUUUUCUUUUUCUUUUGUGGAUUUACACAUUUUGAGCUGAUUCUUUAAACUUCUAUUUUGAUAUUAUCCAAGACACAAACAAUAACCUAUUAUCUGACAGUUGUCGUUGUUUUGUACAAUUCAUAUAUGGUUUGCUCUUAAAGCUACUGAGCUUGUUUCUGUAGUUUUUCACAUAAAUAUUGCUCUUAAAUAUGUUCCUUUAAUUUAUAAUCGAAUCUUGUAAUUUACCAUAUUAUAAAUCAUGAACUAUCUUAUAAAUAGUCAUACUAAUAUUGUUAACAUGAAAAAAAUACCCAACUUCGAAUUAUAUUUCGGUUGUUGUUAUUAUUUUCACGUUUCUUUGUGCUACUAUAAAUACGUUAAUUGAUCUGUCAUCGUGUUUCUACACAACAUGUAUGUGUAGAUACAUAGCAGGUAGUUGGGCUCAAUGAAUUAGUUGGAUUUUAUCUAAACCGUGGAUAUAGAGGCAAUAUUUUGAAGAGUACUUGCCUUCUAGAUUUUGAAG